CUAAUCAAGGGAAGUAAAAAAACGCUAGCACACUGUGGCCACCCGUUGCGGAUGAUGAUGCUCGCAGACGCAGCGAGCGCACUGCCUUCAAGGCGUGCAUAAUUUACCAUCCCUGCUAGCUCCUGCUCCUCUUUUCCUUGGCCUGAUUCAAUUUCCAAGUUCUUUGGUCGGGCGGGCAACUGGGAGGGACAUAGUACAUGGCUAGGUUGCCAUCAAGUUUGCAGUCAAGCUAUCCGCUGUGUUGGAAAUGUCAGAUCCCAGCUGUUACCUGGAAACAUCUGCGCUCUGUCCCACGUAAUGUGUUCAGAAUAUCCGCAGCAAAGAAUAAUGAGGGGAAACGGAGACGCCGCUCACGGAAUAUGUCCAAUAGCCCUCCAGUAUUGAUUGGUGAAGAAGGUUCUUCAGGCAGCAGCGAAAAUCCCACCACCAGCAGUAGCCUUGAGGCCAAUGGCGAUGCUGGUGAGAAAGCUGUAGCCGCCCCAAGGAGUGCCAUUCUUCAGGCUUGCACGCUCACAUCUGGUUUGCUGUUUGCACUAGGUCUCGUUCUUCGUCAGGCAUCACAUUUUGCAUCGUUAAAUGGAUGGCCAUUAGCUGACUCUACGGUUGUAUCAUUCAGUUUCGAAACUUGGCAUCUCGAGUUGGUCGCUGGGCUUGUAAUAUUGAUAUCCUCUAGCAGAUACAUUCUACUACAGACAUGGCCGGAUUUCAGAGACUCAAGUGAAGCUGCAAACACACAGAUCCUUACUUCCCUGGAGCCUCUGGAUUACAUUGUUGUUGCUUGUCUACCUGGGAUAAGCGAAGAGUUCCUGUUUCGAGGGGCAUUGAUGCCGAUCUUUGGACUGAACUGGAUAAGUGCCCUAGUAACUGGAGCCUUUUUUGGCAUUCUUCACUUGGGCAACGGCAGGAGAUAUUCAUUUGCUAUAUGGGCAACAUUUGUUGGCCUUGCGUAUGGUGUAGCAACCAUAGCUUCCUCGAGCAUCAUUGUCCCAGUGGCCUCUCACUCCAUAAAUAAUAUUAUUGGAGGCUUAAUUUGGCGCUUCACUGACAACUCAGAAAGAGAAAUAUAGUUAAUAUUGUUGCUGGUCUCUAUUUUGAUGCUACCUGACUGUAUUAGCUGAGGAUAAGCAGUCUUCAGAUCAUUUGGGCGUGAAGUAAGCUAGUGAUAACUAUUCCCCUUGUGCCAUGUUAUGUUCUAUGUUUUUUGAGCUGCUGAUUCUCUAGCUUAUACCGGGCCUGAAACCAUCAUUUGGUUAACAAGAGGGGCAGGUUCUGGUAUUGUCAGAUUCAGAACUGUCAUUAUGCUUCAAAGUAACGAACAUAAUGUGUUAUCCGAAAAGUAACAAACUGAAAAAUGGAGGAAUUCUUGGGAUUUCCAUGUAGCUGAAACUCUGGCAUCGUGAUUUAUUUACAACAAAAUCAUGUUGCGGAAGCACGAACGGAAAUAUCUCAGUUUCUCAGGCCCUGUUUCCGAGAUGAAAGACACGAUUCUGGUAUCAUUCGUGGAUCAGCUUCGAACUACUUGCAGCACUUCUCGCAAACUGGUGGGAACCUAUGAAUGUUACAGUAGCAGCAGGCCACAUUGCAGUAGUUGUUGCAACCUGUAAAUUUUAUCAGAGACGAUGGAAACGGGAGUUGCUCUACUGAAGCACCGCAGCGGUUGAGCACAGGGCCACACAGCCUUGAAUUACCAUCGAAGCUAGAGCUCUGAAAUGUACUGAUUUGUCCUCCUACCGGAAUUGGCCCUUGUAGCUCAUUAUUAGAAAUGUUGAACUCAGAAAGGAAGUGCAGGUGGUUCAGUGCUGAUGGGAUGGUGCCAGUAAGAUUGUUGCUGGACAAGUCUAGCACCUGCAGGCUUGUGAGGUCGCAGAUCGACUGUGGAAUAUCUCCAGACAAUAAGUUGGAGCUCAAGUUGAGUCCCCAGAUUGCUUGCAACAUACCGAUCUCUGGAGGGAUUUUACCAGUGAGUUUAUUUAUUCACACUUAGAUCCAGCACUUUUCUGAAAGCACUAUCUGAGCUUAUUUGAAGCGAUGGACCUAAAUAAAUUGGUAACUGAAAGUCUCUCGGGUCCAAAUGGGUUGUGGCCUCCUUUGAUCUCAGCAUUGGCAUCUGCAUUAAGGCUGUCAGAAUUUCCCCUAUCAGACUGUUAUUUGAUAUUUUUAGAAAGACGAGGAAGUUUAGGCUGCUGAUCCAGUCAGGUAUGGAUCCAGUUAGUUGAUUGUCAUGUAACACUAACACCCCCAAAUUUGUGAGCUUUGAUAACCAACGCGGUAUUUCUCCAGACAAUGAACAACUAUUUAAGGCAAAAACCUGAAGAUUCUCAAAACCUUUAAUGAUACCAUCGUCUGGCAUGUCCUCAUACAUGAAGUUGUGCGCAAUAAGAAGGGUGGUAAGGUUCUUUGAGCUUCCAAGUAUCUGAAGUGCAUUUGUUAUAUUUGUAAGGUUGUUGUUACCAAGUGACAGGAAGGAGAGGAACUUCAGAUUACCUAGUCCUUCACCUAACUGGCCGUGGAAUUUAUUGGAAGAUAGCCGCAGUGCAGUUAGAUUCAUGCAUGAGUAGAUGCUUUCUGGAAUUGUGCCACUGAAUGUGUUCGACAUUAGAUCUAAAGUCUUCAGAUUGGGCAGCUUGGAGAAAUUGACCUUGGCAAGUUCUCCACUGAAAUUGUUGCUCUUGAGGUCAAUAGUUGUCAAAUUUGUGCAGUUAGUCAGAGUUGAUGGAAGCUGCCCAGACAUCAGGUUGUGGUUCAAAUGGAGUUCUUGUAACCUCUUGAGAUGACCUAUAGACUCCGGAAUACUGCCAUUGAAGUUGUUUCAUCCAAGAUCAAGGGUAGCCAGAUUACUGAGUUUGAUGGCAUUUGUGCCCUCAAGUGUUCCUUGUAAGGUGUUCCUGGGAAAAGAGAGGAACUCCAACGAGGUAGCAUUAAAGAGUUCAUCUGGGAGAGUCCCACUGAGGUUGUUGUGGCCAACCUUCAGCACUCUGAGCAUCGAACAACUUCCGAGUUCUGGUGGAAUGUUCCCAUUGAAUUGGUUGUAAGAGAGAUCAAUCACAUCAAACAGUGGCGAGCUGGUGCACAAAUUACUUGGUAGCUGCCCAGUAAAACUGUUGUUGCUAGCAUUAAGUGCAAUCGUAUUUUUCAUCACCCCCCAUAUGGAGAAUGGAAAGUCUCCUGUAAAAAAGUUGCUGGAGAUGUUCAGUACCUUCAGUGGCUGGUCAGGGGUUGAAGAGGGAAACUCGUGCAGUUCUCCUUCCAGGCGGUUAGAGCUAACAUCAAUGGCGGUGAUGCUACCAGAAGACACCAGUUCCUGCGGCAGUUCACCAGAUAGCAGGUUGUUUGACAGAUUGAGGCUCAGCAAUCUGGUGAGGUUGCCAAGAGAAGGUGAGAUAUGCCCCUGAAGACUCCUGGAAGCAAGCGAGACAUCGACAACCAUUCCAUCUGUGCCGCAGGUGAUCCCUUCCCACAUGCAGCAGGCUGUGGCAUUUUGCCACAACUCGAGGAGACCACUUUUCGGUGAGAGGCCAGCGAGGAACUGGAGAAGGGAGGUCUUCUCCUGCUCUGUGCAGGAACUGGUUGGAGAGGCCAAGGUGAUCAGCAACACAAAGGCAAGGCCAAGGGUGGACAUGGCAAAUUUCUGUUGUACUUCAUGUAUGGACCGUGGAGUGCUGCAAGGUUUUCUAAUGAAACUAGGUUGAUGGCCAGAUGCUUAUGUCUUAUCCUGGCUGGGUGACUGGCAAAGUGGCAAUGGUCUUGUAAAGCUAGAAUAUGAGGGCAAGAUGCAAACAAACAAAAAAAAUUCGUGAUGGCGCUCGGGCUGCAGUGUGCCCGGAUGGCCGGAUGGAAAAGAUAUUGCAGAACAUACACAGGUACGUAUUGGUGUAUACCUUUUUGGAACAUUCAAGCACAUCCUUUUUGAAGUUUUGUAGAAAAUCUGCACCCAGCAAGAACUUUCUAGCUAAAUGGAUUUGGUGGAUGGUGACCUGGUGUAUAAAUUCUUGACCGGAUAGCAUGUGAGGAUUUUGCAUCUGUCACAUGGAGUUGACCUUCUGUUCUCAUGUGAGUUUUCCAGAUCUGGGCCAGUAAGAACUAUGUCGGGCCGUCCAGGCGUGUGGGCUGCUACCGUCUUGUUGGGCUUCAGAGUCCAGGCGCCAGGGAGGUGCGACACUCGGCAGCAGGUCUGCAAGGGGCUUGUUUGUUGCUGGUUCGUUUAGUACCACCUCGCUUGCGUACAAGGAAGGAGCCGGACGAGGGAGCUAUAAAGGUCGAAGGAGGGCAGCGUACAUAUAAUACCUUUCUCGGCCUUUUGGCUAAGAUCAAGUGUAGUAUCUGUUCUUAUCAGUUUAAUAUCUGAUAUGUGGGCCAUGUGCCCACAACGAUAUUAAAUUUAUUUUUUGUGGGGGAGGGCCCAGCACAAUGGCUUGCCACUGGGGCCCUCACGUGUCGUCUGGGCGUUGCACUGCUGCCCAGGCCUGGCGCACCCCAA